AGCGGCGCGACGAGUGACGGCAGCGGAGCCAAGGGGCAACCGCAAAGGCGGGGUUGCGAUCUCUCUUCCCUGCGGUUAGGGUUUUCUACCAUCAGUCAGCAUUCCUGGUCAACCUCAGAGGACUAGAGGCUUGCCAGCAUGGCUCCCAUCUGCAAGGAGGGUCAUAAGAAGGACUCGAUGAACUACAGGCCUGUCAGCCAAGAACUCAGUGCUGGCAAAGUUUAUGGAACAGAUCGUCUUGAGUGAGAUCAUGAGGCAUUUAUGAAACAAUCAGGUGUACAAUCAGUGAGCGUACAGAGGUGUAAAAUCAAUUGGCAUACAGAUUUUUAGGCUAAGUAGGAUUAUUGUAAUAGAAAGAUAAUAAGUGGAAAAUGCUUACUGAUGUUGUAGGCUCACAGUGUUCUCCAUGAGGAGUGAUCUCCAGGAAGAGAUCCUUCCUCAGUGGCAGUCAGCUCUUAAAUGGGGUCUAGGAGAGAUGGAGCAAGGCUCCAGCCCUUCCAGUAGCACAGGUGGAUUACUGGGAGUGAUGGUGAAUGGAGUUAAAUCCGGUGACUGAUCAUGAGUGGUGAUCCCCAGGGGUCAGUACUGGGUCCUAUCCUGUUAAGUAUCUUUAUUGAUGAAGAGAUUGAAUGCACCCUUAGUAAAUAUGCAGAUGACACCAAGUUGGGAGGAAUUAUCCAACUUCCUGAGGUUAGGAAGGCCAUACAGAGGGAUCUGGACCGGCUGAAUCAUUGGGUGGAGGCCGAUGGGUGAAGUUCAAUAAGACCAAGUGCCAGGUCCUGCACUUUGGCUGCAACAAUCCUGCACAGUGCUACAGGCUUUAGGCAGAGUGGCUGGAUGACUGUGCAGAGGAAAAAGAGCAUCAACCAGUACCCUCAGGUCAGCUGAACGUGAGCCAGCAAUGUGCCUGGUUAACUGAAGAAGGCCACUGGCUUCCUGGCUUGUAUCAGAAACAGCAGAGCCAGCAGGAAUAGGGAGAUGAUUGGCCUCUUGUACUCAGCUCUCAUGAGGCUGCAUCUUGAGUACUGUGUUCUUUACUACAAAGUCUUUAUUACAAGGAAGACAUCAAGGUCUGAAGUGUGUUCAGAGAAGAGCAAUAAGGCUGGUGAAGGGACUGGAGCACAAGCCUUGUGAGGGGUGGCUGAGGAAACUAGGAUUGUUCAGUUUGCAGAAGAGAAAUCUCAGGGGACCUUAUUGUUCUCUACAGCUCCUUGAGAGGAGGUUGUGGCACGGUGGGGGUUGGUUCUCCUGGGUAACUAGCAAUAGAACUAGAGGAAAUGGCCUCGAGUUGUGCUAGCAGGUGCCCAGGCACAUGGUUGAGUCACUGUCCCUGGAGGUGUUAAAGAAAUGUGUGGAUGUGAUAGUAAGGAGCAGGAUUUAAUGGAUAGCGUUGGUUGUAGGUGAUGAUUGGACUAGAUGAUGUUAGAGAUCUUUUCCAACCCUAAUGUUUCUAUGAUAAUUAAGUGAUUAAUUAAUUCUGUGAUGCAGUGUGAGACUUUAUCUGCCACUCAUGACAGGAAGAAGUAUUUUGUAGGGUACAUACUCAGUGAACUGAAGAACAAGCUUGUUCUUCAUCUUCCUCUGAUCUUCCUCUGAUUUUCCUGUUUUCCCAGUCCCAGCUUUAAGUUCUUCCCUUAUGUACAGACUCAGCAAUUUUGUGGAUGCAGAAUUAUGCAGUGAUGUCAGAAAAUGACAUGUGCAUGUGAGCCCUGAAAUGCAAUAUGAACUUAUUAAGUGAGGCUCUCGGCUAAAUUUCUAACUGCCCUCAGUCUGUAGAACUGCAGCUGUUUCCUGCAGUGAUAAUGUCAUCUUGUUCUUGUACGUGUACAGGCCCACCACUCUAAAAUGGGAGUCAUUACUUUCAAAGCAGAUCUUGAACACUGGAACUCAGAGAGACAAGGCCCAGGGUCUCAAAAUCUGAAGUUAGCACUGUGUAGAAAAGGUGUUUGGGCUAGCUGACCUCCGCACAUUGCUUACGACCAAAAUCUUUUUAUGAAGUAAUUCCUCUGCAGUCAUUCUCACCUGUUCCUUACACCAAAUUCAUUCUGGCUGUGUGUGACAGGACUCAGUUUUUUACUGCAGGAUGACUCAGAAAUGUCCUUGGUUUCAAAUCUGAAAUUUGUUUUUCCCCAGACUUUUCAUCCCUGUGGCUCCAUCUCAUAAGUUACUCACAUGCAUCAAGUAGCUGGAUUCUUGUCUGCUUUCCUGCAUUUGGGGUGCUCUGGAAUACAAGCUCUGGAGUACAAGAAAUUAACAAUUAUUAAAAGAAGUGAUUUCAACUUAUAGGCCAGUUCUUCACUAAUAUAAAUCUGUCACUUAUUUCACCGUACAGUAGUCUGAGAUCAAAACAGCAAAUGUUUCUUUAAGGUAGUGAAGUAACAGCUGUAUUUCUGCUUCCUUACUGGGAGUUAGUGGCUUAGGUAAUUGGGUUUGUUGCUAUUGGAGCAUCAUCAGCGUGCAUUCAUUCUCUGUGCAGCCAGCAUAUAAAAUUUGCAAGAGCUGCACACAGCAUAUACUCAAUGUACAUCACUUAGCAGCCUACAAAUAGACAUCUAGCUACUGGACUAAAAAAAGCACUUGGUAAUACAGGCAAAUGAGUUAAAAACAAGUUUUCCUUUCUUAUAUAAAUGAUUGUAUCUGUAAGAGACUGAAUGGUGAACAGGCCACCUUUCCAGCCAGAAGAGGGGAGGAUCAUAGAAUCAUAGAAUCACCAAGGUUGGAAAAGACCUUCAAGAUCAUCCAGUCCAACCGUUCACCUAUUCCCAAUAGCUCCCACUAAACCAUGUCCCUCAAUACAGCAUCCAGCCUUUAAUGAAGUACUGAAGUAAUGAAGGAUGAAGUACUGUUGCAACAUUUUCUUGUGUUUUUAAUACUUUCCUUCAAGGUCUAGGUGGCAUUUUGCAGCAGUUAUUAAUUGUUAUGGACACAACCCAGUUCUAAUCACCUGAAGGACUGGACACUUUGUUCCUUUGACUGAGGCCUUAUACUGGUGGUGAAUAUGUUUAAAAAAAUCCUGUACUGAAAGUAAGUUUGGACUUUUGAGCAGAGUUUAAUGGUUGCAGAAUCCUCCCUGCCUGAAUUGGAAACUAGGAAAUCUUCAGUUUGCUUGAGGAGCAGUGUGCAGUUGUGGAUGUUGGAGCCUCAGCUAAUAAUUCAACAGAGAUUUCCUGGGAUUAAGCUGUCAGUGAGGGUAUGGUCGUCAUUUAGACCACUGACACCUGAGUAGGGGCGUGUUGGCUGACUGUCAGCAACUGCAAGGAGUGCAGAGGAUGAGCUUCCUCCUUACCAAUGAAUGUCAAAUCCCUAAACAUUUUCACACAGUUCAUGUGUAUUUGCCAGACAGCAAAUGCUGUGAGCAGCAAAGCAUAGAUUUGAGCUCAGUUUCUUUCCUUCCUCAAAUAAUGCAUGUGUAACAAGAUAGGAUUGUCUAUUUCCGUUGCAUGUCUUUCCAUUUGCAUUUCAAUCUCACAUUAUUAUCGAUCAAUUUUACUAUUCUAAUUUGAAAUGAGAACUAGUUCUUCUUAAGAGAAGAACUCUUCCCACUAUUAUCUUAGCUGGAUUUUGCCUAGAUUCUUACAAAAUCUUCUCUUGUCUUCAUUCUUCCAUCCACUCUCGUGUUUGUCUUGUAUGUGCACCCAUGUCAGGUUAAACAGACAUCUUUUUGAGCACAACCUUUAGCUGGCUUGUUGCAGAGGAAGGAAUGCUGUGUGACUAACUCAUUGUUUUAUAAUGUUUGUAAUAAUGUAUAAGCAGCAUUUGGUCCCACAGGUCUAAAUAAAUGUUUAAUUUUUGUAAUGAAAGUUUAUAGGAGGA